rnacentral:lncRNA from 1 species
UGUCAGACUGAUUCUCCAUCAUCCACUAUUAGUUACAUGUUAAACAACAUGAGUUCCAAGGCCUCGCUUGUGAGUCGAGGAAUACCGAACAAAAAAGUGCUCCCCGCCCAGCUGUAGUCCCUCAGAAGUCUACAUCUCAAACUUCUAGUUCUGCUAGUCUCAUCAAGGUUUCUAAUUUCAAGUCGGUCCUAUCUCAAAAUUCCCCAAAGUGGCUGUGAAGAAUUUAAAGAAUAAACAAUUCCAUGUUCCUAAUAUUCUGGGUAAUAAGAGACUGUCUGAAAACGCAUCUAAAGCUAAUCUGAAGAAAACGAAAAAGAAAGUACGGACCAACAGCUCAUCUGAAAUGAAUACUUCUCAGAUGAUAAAUGAUUUUUUGUCUAAAAACUCGAGUUUGAAACAGAAGAAAAAUGAUGCAAACGUACCCGUCUUGAGGUUUGCCAUCGCUAACGGCCGUGUCGAAGCUGCAGGAGAGCAGAAGACUGUUUUUUCUACUAGUUUAAUUAAAGAUAUGAAGACUGUUAAACCAGAACCUACCGUCACAUCGAAUUUGACCUCAACUAGUGUAUCGAGUGUAUCCAUGGAGCAAAGUUCAAAUGGCACUGAUAGUAUUGGUUCUCAACAAAUAACGUAUUUAACAGCUAGCCCGGUAACUUUUCAGCAGAUUUCUCUAAGGAUGUUAAACCAGUUACAGGGCAAAUCUCAGGCUCCAGCCAACAACGGUAUGGUUAAAAUCGUGGCAAACCCUGCGGGUGGCACACUGGUUAAAGUGCCUCAGAGCCUCAUAUUCCAGGACCAAAACUCCUCGGGGUAACGUAUCGGCUAUUCCAUACUGUUGUUUACAGUCUGUAGUAUUUCUCUAUAAGCGACAGAAUCAAGUGGGAGGUAAGAUGCUUUUGCCUCCUUCUUGAAGUUGUUUUUUCUACUAAUGAAAGUUGCCUCGCCCACCAAUCAUCACUUCCCCUCUGUGGUUGAAAAAAAUUGAAAAUCAAGUGAUGAUUUGGGGGCAUUGCAAUGAGACAGUAAAUCUCUUUCUUUAAAGAAUUUGCAGUUGUCCCUCUAAUGGUUGGCACGUCUAUUUCAGAAUGUGGAAAGUUGUUUUGUAUGUAGUUGCCAAUAAGAGGUAUUUUAAUUUCUCAUGACACUUAUUCCUAUUCUAAAUUGUUAUAUUUCAAUUUGUUUUACUUCCCUGACAAAGGGACUCUCAGAAGAGAAUUAUGUGAUCAUGUUGUAAGUCAGUAUCUUAAGGAUCUUCGUUGAGCCAAGAAAGUUAUUGAUGACAAAUUUCCUCCCCGUCUUAUGUUUUCCUUUUUUUUCCCUAGCACAAAUUUAGGCAUAUUUUUCACAGCCUGUUUCAUUGUGCUAAUUUUUCCCUCUCUUCCCUCUCUUUUGAACCGAUAGCUUAACGUUUUCUAGUCAUAUUUAUUUGCUUGAAUUUCCAGCUCUUUUACCUUUUGUAAGUAGAAACGUAGGUUCAGUUUCUCUUUCCCAUGUGCCCCUCUCCUUUUUUCCUAGAUCAUUCGGGUAAUUAGUUUUGAGUUGUAAAGAAAUCGUAUAUUCCUCUGUCUUUUUUAUUUUUAAAUAGAGGAAACUAUGGACAUGAUUGAAUCACUUCCUCAGUAUUUUGUGUAAGUGUGCUGUAGAUUUUGGGCAAUAAGAAAGAAUGCCCUUACUUCUAAUUUCCACUGUAUCACUAAGUUGUUUACAGUAACUAAAGCUUGUCAACCAAACACUUCUGGUUUUUAAUCAAUAGAAUGUGAUGAAUUUACCAACCAUCCAAGGUUGGCAUCUUCCGUCUGUCUAUUUUAUCUUGUCUUUGAUCGACGAAACAACAAAUACAUGUAUAAUUCUUAAAUGUAACAAGAAUAAUAAUUUGUAAAAUAAUUGAAACAUAGACUGAAUUUUUAUGAUUGGAGUCACAUCAUAAGGUUUCGUGAUUUUAAUGGACCCUAAGCUCUAUGAUAAAUGUUGGUGUUGCCUUAACGCAAUCAUAUUUUUAGUGAUUUUGCUCAGUCAGAUUGUAGUGCUAAAUUAUUCCUCUCAGCUUUUUAAUCGUAUCUUAUCCGUUUAUCUUGGUGUUCCGUCUGUCAUUAAUAACCUCCAGCUGUAGUCAAAGAUGCUUUAUUCUCUAAUGAGAAAACUAGUGGUAGGAUACGUGUAAACAUUUUAAAGCUGAGAUUUUGUUGUCAACCUAUUGCGACUGUAGGGGACAAUGGUGGCCAGACACCAUGCUCAUUACUGCAUUUCAUAUGCAUUUAAUAUUUAGAUAAAAUAAAUUGUGUAGUUAAAUUGUAUUGUGUAAGUGUGAUUAACCUGUUCGAUUGUAUGAUUUUUCUUGAAUACAAUGCAUUUGUCGCCCUCAGUUUUACGGAGUGCAGCAGGGUGUCUUGGAAUGUCUAUUUUGCUCAGAGUGCUAAAGGGUUGUUUGCCUUAUGGCACAGCUGUUUACCAAUCUGACAUCAAGGUGUCUGCAGACUGAAAACCUAGAAAAUGAUGGAAUUUCAUGUAAAAGACUGGAAUUUUUUUUUCUUUCUUGAUUGCGCUCUGUCUUGUUUGUGUUUUACAAACUUGGAACAUCAUAAUUAGAAACACUCAAAUUAUAGUUUCGUGCCUUGAAUGCUCCAAACUAAUA